UAAUCACAUUCUCGCCAAAGUGUUGCAGUGAAAACAUCAAUUGAUAUUUCCUUGUAAAAUUUUUGAAAAUGAAAUUUAUAUUCACAAUUGUGUGCUUCUUUCUGAUAAUGGCAGGAAUUCAAGCAAUUCCCUAUAAUCCGCUCGAGAGCUUGGAAGACAGGAGCAUGGAUUUAAGAAACAGGUUCAUGGAUGAUUUAGAAAACAGGCGCACGCCACGACGAGCGUCCUGUUGUGGAGAUAUUGAAUUUUGUAGCUGUUGACACACCCAAAAUGUCCUCUUGAAUUUCAAGUCAAGUGCUUUUGCUGUUUGACAAGAAAACACAAUAAAUAUA